GUGCUCUCUUCAGCAGCACAUAGACUCAAAUUGGAAUGAUACAGAGAUUAGCAUGGCCCCCGUGCAAGGAUGACACGCAAAUUCAUGAAGCGUUCCCUAUUUUU